AGCCGCGCGGCCAGGGUAACCGCGGGCUCGCGUGGGUGCUGCUGGCUACCUGUACAACUUCGUGCUCCGGCGUCACCAGCUAGCUAAAUCCUCGCAACGGUUCUGGGCGAUAGGGGCCGUUUUUGUCCCCCUUCUUCAGCAGAUGAGGGAAUUUGUUUCAAAAAGUUGUUACCUGCUCACGGAAACAGACGUCCUAAGCUAUUAACACAAUCUCCAGCUGUGUUCUAACCAAGACAGGAACCGAAGGGAACAGUAAAAAAUCAUUUUCCGUGCUGCGCUGGGUCUUUUUCUUUGGAAUUUUAAGAAGUUCUGUGAGCUAAAGACCAAUGACUUCCUACAAAUCUUGAAGGACUCCAGGACUCAUCACCAUAGCAGACCAUGCAUCCUUUUUAAGAUGCUUGAUGUCCAGGACUUUGAAACAGCUGAUUUCUUUUUAACCACCUCUCAAUAGGAUUCAUGGAAAAAACUCUGACAAGCACAGAUUUCUGAAAACUUUAAGGUCAUACCACUGGACUCGGAGGCCCAUUGUCACCAGAAGUGUAUAGUUUCUAACAGAUUUAUACAUUGGAAGUUGAUUUUGCUCCUAAUUUCAACAUGCCUAAUGAAAUAAAUAAUCAAAACAGUCUAAAAUUCUUCCUCCUCUCUGCCUCCUGCAAAAAGACAGCGUCUGGUAUUGUCCAC
rnacentral:lncRNA from 1 species